rnacentral:lncRNA from 1 species
AAAGUGGAGCCGUCUUUUCUGCACAGAGUGUGCACUAUCAUCGUAACAGCAGAGACGGAGAGCAAGAUGUGAGGAGGUUAAAAGUCAGGGUCAGAAGUUCAGGUUGCUCUGACCCUCAAAUCAAUUUCAAGCACUGUUUGUGACAUUUUCCUGUGUUCCCUCGCUUGAUGUUAGUCUUUGCAAUGAACCACCGAAUCAGACUUCAGGGCUCAUGGGACUUUGGGGUUUCAGUAGGGUCAGGUCAAUUUCUACCUACCAGUGUACUGUCACCUAUGAGGCAAACCAUUAUCUAGGCGUUUGAGAACCUCAAAGUUUUGAAGCUCUGAGGGGAAAGAGAGAGGAUGAAGCGCUGGGGCCCCUGUGUCUUUGGGGCCUGACAUAGCUCAACCUGUGGCUUCAGGGGGACCGUGUGCAGCCAGGUCACAGUGGUACCGGAAAGGGAUCCUGAUCCAGACCCCAAGAGAGGGUUCUUGGAUCUCGUGCAAGAAAAAAUUCAGGCUGAUGGCACUAAGGCUGAACCCAGAAGCUGCAGCAGUGGACGGAUGAUGAUCUGAAGAAAUGAGAUCCCUGAUGGGCUUGGAAGUCAUGGUUCCUGUAACCAUGAUGUCACACCCUCGUCCUGACACCGAGAUGGGCUGGACACAUCUGUCACCCAGGGCAAACAAAAUGCUUGGUCUGCAUCUUUCAGAAGAAAACUAAAAAUCAAGUAAUUUCUUAGAAGUUUGCUUGCGUGUGGCUUAAGUCUUCUUCUCCUGUUGAGGAAGGUGUUGAGUUUGACCAUGACAGCCCCACCCAGUCCUUGGCUCAUCUCACCCAUCAAAGAGGAUCUGGAGAUUCAGAGCUAUGCCGUGGAAGACCUUGUCAGAGCACCAGGCCAUACUGUGCUGCAGGUGGGGUUCAGGUGCCCAGUGACAACCACCGGGGCCGCUCAUCCCUAAACGUCUGUUGAACUUAAAGUUCUACUCAAGACUUUCUACAUUAAAUACCCUUUCAUACAGCAAAAUCAGCCAUGUUCUGAGAUGUGAAACUGCAGCACAAAGUUACUGUGGUCUCCACCUAUAGAAAUGGAAUGUUACUUCAUAAAGCCCCAGGCCAAAAAAGAAACCCCAAAACUCUGAAACGACACCCUUAAAUUUAACCUGAACAUCUGGCCAGCCUCCUCCAUCAUUGAAACUUCUCCUGAGUGUUGGCAUGGAUCCUAUGUUUCUCCAGCCAGGGAGCUUUGCUCCCCAUUCUUGAUGGACCCACUGAGUCCCAAUUUUCUACAUUUUACUUGGGUCAUUCCACCACUUUGGGAUGCUUUUCCUACUCUGUUGUACUUUAAAAAUGUUUCUUCUUUCCUAUUCUCAGCUUCACGCAUUUGUCUUCUUUCUCAAUUCAACUUGCUUAGUUCUCGCUACAUCAAUUCCUAGAGCCAUCCAUCUGCACUUCUGAAUCAUUUAAGUUUUGUUUGGCUACAAGUAAUGGAAACCCACUCUGAGUAACUCAAGCAAGAACUGGAAUUUAUUGGAAGGACAGUGGGAUAUAUCAUAAGAUCCAAAAAGAAUUGAACAAAUAAAAUUUCAGAGGGAAGAAAAAGGGCAGCUCCAGUGACUUCAGCAACAAGACAACAUAAGUCUUUCUAGAGCAUAGCUACUAAUAUUAUUCAGCUGCAAGAGCCCCUCCCCAUGAGAAACUUGAUUGAAAAUUCUGAUUUCCCACAGAGAAGAAUCUGAUCGACUCAGUUUAGCUUUGGUUGCCCAACUGCUCAAUCUUGCAUGAAUUAUUUCCAGCCAAGGGGACAAGGUGUAUUAUAGGGACACACCUGCUUUCUCCAAAGAAAAGAUCUGGGCAUUUCCUGAUCAUUUCCCUGAGAAGGAGGAAUCAUUGUGAGCCAAGAAGAUACCUCAAGUAUAAUGAGCUCAGUUACACUUUUUUGAUAUCUGAGUAUUUGGUAUGUAGUGUGCAUUUUAAAAAACAUGUCUCUCUCCAGGACAAUGUUAACCUCUUCCACGGUGGAGUGGGGCUAUGUGAUUUUGUGCUUAAUUUACCUAGCUGGUGGGCCUCCAGUAGAGGCUGUAGUCGAGCCAGCUGAUACCACAUCAGUUCUCCAAAGGAACAAAAGCUGCCCUUCCUUCCUUAUUGCAAAGUUUGACAAAAAGCAAAACGUGAAGAAUAAAAGCGACUUGCAUUGUCUAACAUCUACCGCAGUGUUUGAGCUGCAGCUGCUCCUCCUCCCCUGAUUGUUUUCAAAUAUUUCUUCAAAAAAGGCAUUAAAGAAAAACACAAGAUAUUGCACAGGGAACCAAAACAAAUCACAAUCUUCAAGGACAAAGCAUUGCAAAAUGGCUUACAUCCCCAAAUGGGAACAGAUAUGGUUGGAAAUUAAAACAAUCUUUUUUAUUUUAAGCGGAAAUGCUAGCAGAUGCCACAAGAAACAUAUGGAACUCGCCACAGACAAAUAGGGAAUGCUUUCUGCGUGUGGAAGUAGAGCAAAGGGAGUGACCACCUCUGACUGUCAGGGGGAACCAUCAGCUCGAACUGUUUGCUAUGGCAGGAGGGAGUUUGCAGAGUCCGGAGUCCUGCCCUCAUGAAAAAGCUUUAACGGUCUUGACUGAGUAAUUUAAGUCAUUCUUGUCAGGGAGUUUCAGAACACUAUGCACAAUUAUAUUUAUUUCACAAUGCAUUGAUUCCAGAUAUCUUUUUAAAUGUGCUUACCUCUGUGUGCGUUGUUACCUGUUCCCUCUUUGAAUCUCUGAAUGAAACAAAAUAAAUAGGAAAAAAUGGAGACAUAGAAGCAUUGUCCACAAGGCAUCUCCCACUCUAGAGGUCUCCCAGCCCCGUGCUAGCUUGUUAAUUUAUUAUCGCUUGUCUGUCAAACAAGGAAGAUAUAAUUUGCCACACAACAUGUUUUCCUAAAGCAAUGUUUUUGUACAAUUUCCUGAUUUCCAAAAAUAUGACCAAUGAUAUUCUGGUUGA